UACGUAGGGGGCAAGCGUUGUCCGGAAUCAUUGGGCGUAAAGAGCGUGUAGGCGGCCCGAUAAGUCCGCUGUGAAAGUCCAGGGCUCAACCCUGGGAUGCCGGUGGAUACUGUCGGGCUCGAGUCCGGAAGAGGAGUGUGGAAUUCCUGGUGUAGCGGUGAAAUGCGCAGAUAUCAGGAGGAACACCGGUGGCGAAGGCGGCUUCCUGGACCGGUAUUGACGCUGAGGCGCGAAAGCCAGGGGAGCAAACGGG
rnacentral:rRNA from 1 species